UUGACAAGCUGGUGCCAGUUGCGGGGGACCAUAAAAUAUGUGAAGUUGAAAAAACUUAGACAAUUGUAAUUUUGAUAAUAACUAUGGAAGAGAUUUAUAAGAUUAAUGUAGCGCUAUUCAAAGUCUCUUUUUUUGAUUAAACUGCGUAAAAAUUUUUGGAUAUUAGGAUAACUUUAGUAUGACCGCGCACAAAAAGCUUAUGUCUAGUCUAGAGGUCAGCAUGCAGCCAUUCAAAUGUUUUUAGUCCGUUUGUGUGCGCAGACAACUGGCACGAAUCCGCACGAAGGAAAAUCCGAUUGCUGCUUUACACUGGAAAAUAUUAGAGCAGAAAUUGAGAUAAAGCAAAAUUUUUUGCACCAAAGAAAAGAACAAAUAUUGAGAGGAAAUAUUAAAAUAUUAUUAAAUAUUAUAUUAGGUGAAAUGUAGCCACUAAAUCCAAUUGUUUCGAAGCAUGCUCCUUGGUUCCUCUUAGUGAAAAAAUUGUGCAUCGACUUGAAAUAUUGGCCAGUGUGACACCAGCAGAAUGCUAUUACGCGUGGAUCGCAGGAAAAACGCAGCCCUCCGCCCGCCCAACCGACAGAGGGGCGCUAAAGCAUGACGCGCAGCGCGUAGCUGAACCGAACGCGAACAUUCAGGAAUGAUGUUAUACUAAUAUGCGAGGAAAAUAAGAACAAAACUUACUAAGAGAACUAAGCAUGCAUUCAACAUAGAAAUACUAUUACUAAUUACGAGAAUGGUUUAUGAGUAUGUAUCCGCACAUAAGGCCCUAAACGGUUCAUGCAUGGAAUAAUUCGAUCUAAAAAGUGGAAGGAACAACGGUACAUAGUUUCUAGUGAGUCUAAUGGGAACCUUGAAGCUUAUGCAGCUCAACAGAUUAGGUCUAUCUACGUCACCUAAAGUAGAUACACCUGCAUCCCAGUUAAGGAGAGACGGAAGUAUGAAGUUUUUCCGGACUGAUUCUUUACGAUCCCGGUGUAGUUUGUACUGAGGGCACUGUUUGAGAUGCCGAGCUUUUUUGUCACCUAUUUGUUUUCAAAAUAAAAAAGAGAACUAGGUUAAACUUUA